AGAGUUUGAUCCUGGCUCAGGACGAACGCUGGCGGCAUGCCUAACACAUGCAAGUCGAACGGACGAGGAGAAGCUUGCUUCUCCGAGUUAGUGGCGGACGGGCGAGUAACGCGUGAGCAACCUGCCCUUGAGUGGGGAAUAACGUCUGGAAACGGACGCUAAUACCGCAUAACGUGUCGGAGUCGCAUGGCACUGACACCAAAGGAGUAAUUCGCUGAAGGAUGGGCUCGCGUCCGAUUAGCUAG
rnacentral:rRNA from 1 species